rnacentral:rRNA from 1 species
CAGCCGUAAACGAUGCGCGUUAGGUGUAUCGACGACCACGAGUCGUCGAGGUGCCGAAGGGAAACCGUGAAACGUGCCGCCUGGGAAGUACGGUCGCAAGGCUGAAACUUAAAGGAAUUGGCGGGGGAGCACCACAACAGGUGGAGCCUGCGGUUUAAUUGGACUCAACGCCGGAAAUCUCACCGGAUAAGACAGCGGAAUGAUUGCCGGGCUGAAGACUCUGCAUGACUAGCUGAGAGGAGGUGCAUGGCGUAGUCGUGU